rnacentral:piRNA from 1 species
UAGAAAGGUUCUGGUUGGAGGUGUCUUA